ensembl:lncRNA
CAUCAACAGUUACUGUUUGUACUUCCUGUAAGAAGCUGCAGUCUGAUCACAACAUUCACACACAGACACACUGAGACUAAAGUCUGAAUAACAACAAUGAUUCAUGUCAAAUACAUUUUAUUGUCUAAAGUGGUGGAAAAUCUUCUUCCAGUCGACACGACUCAAAAUAUAUCUGAACAUGUUUCCUAUGUGUGACAGGUGAGACCUGGAGACUCGGGACCGCCCCUGGUGAGCGGAGCUGGUCUUUGCUCCUUUUAUAAGCGCAGGUGUGGGCAAUUGGGUAUCUAUCUGCAAACCUGAAACUGCGAGUGCUUGGCCCGAGUUGGGCAAGUUGGUGUUUUUUAACUACGAAAGUCUGAUACGGGUCUUCCCCUAAACUUCUGUUAGAACGGUAGGUUACACAAAAAUGUACCACUUGAGCUCUGGCUGUUGGCAGAGGUUUACAGUUAUUUGCACCCUUGUAGGUGGGAAACAUUGCUCCCGUGAGAACAGUAUAGUGGACUUCAUCGCCACUGACCCACAUUUAUUAGGGUGUGACACGAACUUGUGGACAGAGUACCGAGCUGCUGCUUUGCCAGGUGGAUUUCUGGCUGCGGGCAAAGGACCCGACACAUUAGUGUGUUUUAAUUUGUUUUAAACCGGUGUAAAUCGGCAGACUGACUGUUGAGGCUGUCGAUGGUUUUUGGUGUUUGUUUUAAUUUUUUCUGUAUCAGUAGGCACCACAGAUAUUGAUCCUUUUAGUAUUUUAACCCCUUUUUUAUAUAUAUAUAUUGUCGCAGACGGUGAAGGCGCUGCAGGGAAAACAAAUCCUUUUUUUUGUCUCCCCGCUUUUUGCAUGCACAGCGGUGGGCCUGAGUGAAGACGGCACCGAAGAUUUUCCUUUUUCUAUAGUGUUUUACCCAUUUGGGGUCAUGUGUGAGUUGCCGUCCACUUUUAACCUGUGUGCUAUGUCGAUUUGUUUUUAAACUGUUCCCUGCAGCGCUUGUCCUGGCUCAUGGCAAUCGUACAGUUUUAUAGUUUCUAAUAAGGUAAAGUUUUUAAUUGUUUUCAGGUGCCGCUGUUACACGGUUUCUUUUAUUUUGUAUUAAAAAUCUUUUAAACUGACUGUGCGCCUACGGCUCUGUCCUAUUUUAAAUAGGUACCUACCACGGGUCACAAACGCAUGAAUAAAAUGACAAUAAAAGAUAAAGAUGAACAAAACAUGACAUGUAAAUGACUCAUAACUCCUCUGUGUGGUACUUGUAGUAAUUAUGUGUUGAGAGAUUGAAGCAACAGCUCAACAUGCAAGUUUUUCAUGUGUUUCAUCCACAGGAAGUGAUGUCAUCAUUUAGUUUAAAUGUACUGCUGGUGUCAAAGUUCAUGAAGCGACAACAAAACCAGUGAUGAAGUUUUUAUUUGUUGUAACUUUGUUUUACUGAGGGUGAUCGUGGCUCAAGAGUUGGGAGUUCACCUUGUAACCUGAAGGUUGCCGGUUCGAGCCCCGGCUUGGAGAGUCUCGGUCGUUGUGUCCUUGGGCAAGACACUUUGUUUUCUUUGAGGAAGUAACAAAUACUUGCAAUGAACGACAUGUUAUUGAGUAAUUUAUGACUCUAUUUUAAAGCUCUGAAGCCAAACUCAGCAGCUGAUGUGAGUCAGUUACUUUAUGUGAAUGAUUUCAGUUCAUUCCAGCAUUUAAACUCUGUGCAGUCGUAUUUCUGUUCAGCUCCAACAGGACAAACAGGAAGAAUUAGCAAAUAACUUUUCACACAACUCUGGGUUUGAAGAUGCUGACAGAUU